rnacentral:lncRNA from 1 species
AGCCACAGAGUAUACAGAGGCGGAACUCGCGGCGAUUCCUUUGUUCUUUGUGUCCCCGUGCAACGUCAUUUCCACGCGCCACGCAAAUUGCUCUGGCAAGUGUCAUUCGUCGUGUUUUCAGUCAAAAGCAUAGGAAAAACACCGUUCGAAAGUAGAAAAAUAAAUAUUUUUGCGAAGUUGCUCAACCGAUCUUCACUUUGGAACUCAAAUUUGAAAGAUAAAUGGUAAGUGGUUAUUUUUAUGUUUAAAUAUAUACGUUUAUAGGCUAAAUACAAAGAAAAAAUAGUAUAAUACAAAUUACAAUCUCGGUGCUUGUGAUGUUCUUGCCAAGAAGCAGAUUCCCAUUUCGCUAAAUUAAUGCGGGCCAAACGUAUUGCUUUCCUGUCUUUUACAUUAAUAAGAAAGCAUAGGUGCUGAUUUGAAACACGUCCAUCAGGUUCCAUGCAUGUAGCUUUGCGAUUUGUGAGCAAAAAUUAAAAGUUAAACUACCUAUGUUUUUAAUACUUUCUGUGCAACUAAUAACCACAUUCACAAAUAUAUUCUCCAGCAAAGAAACGUUUCUUUACGGAUUGUUAAUCCGCAUUUGAAGGCAUGCUUAUGCCUUCAAAGGUCAGAGGUCUUCACAUGCAGAAUAGCAGAGACUAGUGUCAUUGACAUCCUUUGUCACAAAAUUAUGAUGGCAUAUUGGACAGCUAUGUUGGAUAAGGCACUUCCUUAAUAAAUAGCUUGACACAUAAGUUCAUGCAGACUAAGUUUUGUUCAAUUUCAUUUGUUUUGUAGUCGGUAUCUUCAACUGCUUGGAUUAGUGGUGGGCUUGUCUGAUCAUUUCCUGCAGAUAAAUCAGAUUGGCUAGGGUGAAAUGCAAUCAAAUAGGCAUCAGAAUCUUCAGCACAGCUGCCAAUUGAAAGUGGUGUCAAAAUAUUAUCUACAAAUAAUAUGCAAAAUGCUCUGGUGAACUGGAUGGGACUAAUUGGUUGUCCCAAUCCCCCCCUGCUGCCUAAUGAGGCCAAAGAAGUUCUCCAGAGGCAUCUUGUCAUGAGAAACUCCAAGGAAUGAUGUUGGUUAAGGUCUUGAAAUGUAAAUACUACAGUGUAAUAACUACUGACAGUGUAAAUACUACAACAGUGAAAUGUAAAUACAACAGUGUAAUUGGGGUUUAAAAAUACAAAGUUUAUUUUAAUAAA